rnacentral:rRNA from 1 species
GACGUAGGGGGCGAGCGUCGUCCGGAAUUACUGGGCGUCAAGCGCGUGUAGGCGGGCCGGUCGGCGGCGUGCGAAAGGCGGGGGCUCAACCCCCGGACGACGGGCCGAACCGCUGGCCUUGGGACGGCGAGGGGCACCCGGAAUGGUCGGAGGAGCGGUGAAAUGCGUAGAGCCCGAUCAGAACACCGGUGGCGAAGGCGGGGUGCUGGAGCCGGGCCGACGCUGAGACGCGAAAGCGCGGGGAGCGAACGGG